CAUUACAGUCACCUUGAAAAAAAAGUUUUGCCCUACAAAAGGUCAAGUCUUAAGAAACCGACUAAGUUGAUUGUUCUUCUCAUAUAUGACUGUGAUUACUUAAUUACUUAAGGCUUAAAGUUUAAGUCUUAUGACUUAAAUGCUCAUUGUAAACAGCGCUUUAGAUGAAGGCUCUAAAUGCAAAGGCAAAUUUGACUCAGCGCUGAUAAGAGUCGCACGCUGAUAUUGUCGCGUGAAAUAAAUAAUAAUGAUUAAACCGAUAAUUAUAUGUACUUAAUAUUUAUAUAUACUGAAACAAAUAAUUAGACCGAUAAUUAUAUAUACUUAAUACUUAUACAUACUGAAACAAAUAAUUAGACCGAUAAUUAUAUAUAUUUACAUAAUCGAUAAAAUAUAAAAUGAAAUAUAAAUAGUCCCCAGAAGUAUUAUAACUAAGAACAGUUAUUUAUAUUCUCAUAAUGUACGAUUUAUAGUCGAAGUAUACGUUAUGAGAACAUAAUGUCUUCAAUUAUAGAUUCACGGCCCACUUAUGUUAUUAUUAUUUAUUUCGCGCACCAAUAGAGGCGCUCGGCUAUUAUUAGCAAUAAAUUGAAUUCGCGUGUUCAAACAAGAUCAGGAGCGCGUCAAUUCGUCUUGACAAAAGUGACGAUACAUGAGACGUCCUAUGUGUCACAACUGCCACGGAGGGAAAAACUCAUUGGUUGUGAUAAGAGCGAAUUCACAGUAUACGGGACGUACGGCAUUACAACUGCAACGGAUAACUCAGAAAAAACAUUCACGGACAGAAUUUUACAGUAAAAUUUAAGGAUUUUGUAACCGAGGAAUAGAUUGACAUUCUGCAAUGAUGUGUUAUCCUUUCAUUUCUCACAUGCGCUAUUUUAUAUUUCGGAAAGUGAUUUAAUUGAUCGAGUAUCAGCGGAGCCUUUCUCUCUUCUUAAAUUUCGUUAGUAUAUAAGAUUUUGUAACCGACGAAUAGAUCGACAUUCUGAUUUAUUAUCUUUUCGUUUCUCACAUGCGUUGUUUACAUUUCAGAAACUGAUUUAUUCGAUUGGAUAUCAACAGCGCCUUUCUCUCCUUAAUUACUAUAGAAUUUUGUAAUCGAGGAAUGAAAGGUAUUACGGAAAUUUAUUAUCCUUCCAUUUUUCACAUGUGCCAUUUAUAUUUCAGAAUCUGUGAAAUGCGCUAUUCGAAAGAUCUGUCAUGUUUCCAGCGAAAUUUGUUACAUUUCUCAGAGACUUGUUCCUCAGAACAAGACAGAUCUCUCUGACACUCCAUUCCUGUGCUGCUGCGGAAGUACAAUAAAAUUGCAAAGGACUUACAUGAAGAGAAACCAUAAUACUUUCUCCCAAGCGCUUCUAUUGUAUUCUUAUCUAUCAGACAAGAGCGUAAGAAAAAAACCAAUAUUUACAGCGUCACUUCGGUUCCUGCCAUAACCGAUUAUUGCGCAAGCCUCGCCAAUAGUGGUUCUCAAUCGCGACGAUUUCGCGCGCUUCUUGCUGCGUCGUGUCCGAAUUGUUUCGCGAGCAAAUGUGAGUCGUACACUGUUCACGCGAGAUACUUAGGAAUCAGAUGUUCUCACGAAGCUUAAAACUUGAUUUACAAUGUGUUAUUUGCUUCUUGUUUUUUUUUUCUUUAUCUGACUUUUUUUUCUGACUCACACCUUAAGCCUGAUCUACAAUAUGCUCUUUGCCUUCUGUUUCUUGCCUUCUACCUAUUUCUCGCUUAAAGCUGAAGGUUUAAGUCAAAAAGAGAUCAAGAAGCAGGAAGCAAAGAACAUAUUGUAGAUCAGGCUUCAAACUAAAAAAAGACAGAACAAGAAACAGGAAGCAAAGAGCACAUUGUAGAUUAAACUUAAUUGUCCAUAUCUCGCAAAUUCGUGUCCGCAGACGAAGUCGAGCGGGCUGUCGGACAAAGGAGAGACCGAGAGAGUUCUCGCCGCGUCCUUCGACGACCUUUUUGCUCGCCCAUAGCUGUACGCAUCGGCGUGCCGCCGACGGUGGUACCAUUCACUUUCACAUGGUCGCGACGCACGCACGCACGCACUCACUCACGCAUGCAUGCAUGCACGCAUGAAGACAGGCAAUGCGCGCAACGAGUGCGUAGGUAUGCACAGCUAUGCCAUCCGUUGCGCAUACCUACGCGUAAACAAACGCUGGCAAUAAAAUGCAGGUAUGCGCGCGCGGAGCCGCCGCGCCAGUUAAUCGCCGCCACGCGUUAUUGUCGUGCGCGCGUUUAUCAUCUUAAUAACGCAUUCUCUUUCCUGCACUGCCGCGUGUAACAGUUUAUCAUUCCGGCUCGUUACCUGUGCAUUUCCCCGACGCGUCGUUGCCGUCACGCUUGCCGCGUAGCGCCCGACGAGCACCCGUGACGAAUAAUUUGCGACGAAUUUACGAAAUUCCACGUGCGUCGAUCCCCAAAUUGCACCCCGGCGGAGCGAAAAGAGAAAUAUUCUCGACAAAUGGAAAAGAAAGGGAGGGAAAGAGAGAGGAUAACGUUAUCGCGAAAAAUUUGCGUAAUGAGAGGAGAGAAAUAAAAAAAUAUUCUCGCAUUAAUAACAUUGCAUUCGUCGAUUUCGCUCUGCACUGAGAAAAAGUGGCACGAGACAUGUAAAGAAGGAAAGAGAAAGAAAGACUUGCUUACGUUACAGAAAAAAAACACUCAAAAGUUUAUUUGUGAGAUAUAAAGUUUAUUCACAGAAAAAAUAAACUUUAUUAUACAAAUAAAUUUUCAAGUGUUUUUUUUCUGAAUGUGUAACGCAAGUCUUUCUCUCUUUUUCUUUCUCUACACAUGUCUCGUGCCGUCAAAGAUUUUUCCAAUUUCAAUCAUUGUAUACCUUUUUUGAGUGAAAUUGGAAUGGGGGAGAAAGAAGAAAUAACGUUCUCGAUAAAUUUACAUAACGGAAGGAGCGAAAUAAAAAAAUUUUCUCAUUAAUAAUAUUGCACUCGCCGAAUUUGCACUGAAAAAAGGGUAUUUAAAAAUUUAUUUAUGAAAUAUAUAAAGUUUAUUCGCAAAGAGAGAGAGAGAGAGAGGAAUAAACUUGAUAUCCCUCACAAAAAAAUUUUUAAAUAUUUUUUCUCGAUGUAACGCAAAAAACUCCUCUCUUUCUCUAUUUUUCUUCCUCUAUAUGCCGGUGUGGCGCCGAAGAUCUUUCUAAAUUUUAAUCGCUCGUGUACCUUCGAAACUUUCCCGAGCAAAAUUGAAUCAGAGAAGAGAGAAGAGAUAACAUUAUCGCGACAAAUUUGCAUAACGGCAGAAGCGAAAUAAAAAAUAUUCUCGCAUUGAUAACAUUGCAUUCGUCGAUUUUGUCUUGCACUGAAAAAAAGGUACUUUAAAAUUUAUUUAUAUAAAGUUAGUCAUUUAAUCACACAAAAAUAAACUUUAUAUUUCACAAAUAAAA